UACGUAGGUGGCAAGCGUUGUCCGGAUUUACUGGGCGUAAAGGGCGCGUAGGCGGCCCGCUAAGUCGAACGUGAAAUCCCCGGGCUCAACCCGGGAACUGCGUCCGAUACUGGCAGGCUUGAAUCCGGGAGAGGGAUGUGGAAUUCCAGGUGUAGCGGUGAAAUGCGUAGAUAUCUGGAGGAACACCGGUGGCGAAGGCGGCGUUCUGGACUGCUACUGACACUGAGGAACGAAAGCCAGGGGAGCAAACGGG
rnacentral:rRNA from 1 species